AUGUACAGUGCCGAAGACCUCCUGAUCACUCAUGGGUACAAACUGUUGAGAGACCUCCCAGCACCACGCAGGGAUAACCCUGAGGGAUGCCAGCCAGCAAAGACAAGGAUGCGAGUGGUCUGUGGCCUGCUGAAUAGGCAUGAGGAUGGCCCUGCGGCCUUUGCACAUCAUAAGACACCUGCUGGGAAAGGGCGUGGGAGUGACUCUGAAAGCUGCCGCGCCACACUGAGAGGCCACGGGGAUCCCCAGAGCACUUCUGCUUCUAGAACCUCUGAGGCAGGGCUUCAUAAUCAACCAACCCCAGACUGUUAAUGACCAAGCCAACUGGAGAAGAGGAGCGCGGGAAGUCAGCAGCCUGCUGGGUCCGAGGGACCCAGAAGACCUGCAGGAAUGACCCAAGCCCACAGUCCGCCCGUCCACAUGAGGCAGCGUCCAUAGGAAGUCAGAGGAAGGGCAGAGGAUGUGACGAAUAAGACAACUUGGAAGAAGGCAGCUUGGGAAGAAGAAUUGAGAAUGUUGGGUCCUGCCAAGUGGCUGAACGUCUGCAACCAGCCAAGGAAAUUCAGGUGGCGGGUGUCUGAUGGUGAUGGGAAGAAAUUAUUUCAAGAUCUGUUACUGUUCAUUCAAGGAGAACACGUGUCGAAUUCUCAAAACAAAGAGAAAUCCCAAUUAUUGCCUAGAACUCUCCCCUCUCCCACCCCCAUAGCCCUCCGACCCACAGCCUGAAUUGCACAGAAAUUUCCAUUCCAUUAAAUGACAGACAUUUACCUAAAAUGUCACAGUAUUCUCCCAAUUAUGCAACAAAUUUGAAAUUCACAAGUGACCCUGAGAAGGGUGGCUCCUUGGCCUCUUUUCCUCAGCCUAAGUUUGGGAGACCCCUCAAGCCCCCAUCUGACGGCUUGCACCACCAGUCCCAUAGGGAGUAGAAAGUGGUGACUAUCAGGACAGCCAGCAGCGGAUCCAUAAGUCCCCAGGCAUGAGCUCUGCAUGUCUGACUUUGGAUUGGAGCCUCCAGUAGGUACCUCCACCAUCACACAGGUCACCCCCCAGCACAUCCCAAGCCCCUACUUGGAAGACACAGUGCUCACUCAUAUGUGGCAUUCACGGUCAGCAGCAGCCUCCAACUGAGAAGGCCGGGCUGGUGGUCGGCUUCCUUGUGGCCCCCUUGGAACUGGGCCCUGCAAACACCCUCUUACCUCAGGGCUCCCUCCACACCUCCAAUCUGCCACUGCCCAUGACAGCUUCAUUCAGUACAUUCCCUUUGAUGACCCAAGGAUAUGACAUAUCAAACCAGCUCAACCCCAGGGUUUCUUUGAGGACACAAGGUUUGGUGAUGAAUCUUAUAACUCCAGUCCUGUCACUGACCAAGAGCCAGCUCAUGGAAAAAUGCUGAUGGUGCCAUUUGGAAUCCACAGAGCCUGAUAGCCUUGUCAGGGAAUAAGAGAGGCCCGGCCUUGGCUGAUCCUAGCCCCUUGUGGCCAUGGGUCCAGCUUCCCAGAAAUAGAGAAAAUGGUGGCUUUCCUGACCAAAGAGACAGCUGUGUCAUGAGAGGAUGGCAGCCUGACGUGAGGGGCAGCCCUCACAGACACGCAGAAAGCCAAGUUUCUUCCCCAAGCCCACAGGGCGAGGGCACUCAUGAAACUCAAACCAAACUCAAAAAGUUUGAAACUGGGAUUCGGACCAAGAAAAGUUCAAAGAAGUAAAUGAAAACCAAACAAAAAACAAGACUGUAUUUUGUUUGAUUUUCAUCCCUGUGAAAUCAGAAUCACAGCUGCCAGAUACAGGUACGGACAACAAUGACUUAAAUCUGAGUGGGUCUGAUGAGAGCACAGCUCUGCAACCACAGAGUCUGCUGAGCAUGUCCUCCAGCGACCUGGGGCUGCAGGCUGUCACAGGAAGCAUGGGUGGGAGAAUGGAGCUCCAGAAACAAGAUCUGGGGGUGGGGAUCAGAAGAAGAUAAAGCAAUCAAUGACCUUGGAUUCAUUUACCUUACAAAGCACAGUGAACUCCAGCAUUCUGGCUCUUGGCCAGGGCACCAGUACAGAGAUCAGCAAACACAAACCAGUUUCCCCAAAGAAUCCCAAAGCUCGCAGCUCCUUCCUGUUGCAAAGCUGGGAGGGUCUAGUGUGUCCCUGACUCCAAAAUGUUUGGACCCUGCUGCCUCCGAAGCUCAGAUGCACACGGCAGUCCCUUCUGGUGACCACAAAUAGAGGUGAAGUGCCUGCAACCUGAAAGGUCACAGGUCCCUCAGCCCAGCCGGCAACAGUGCUUUUCCAAGGACUUCCUUGUCCAUAAAUCAGGCACUGAUGACAAAAGCAGGCUGAAGUCAGCCCUGUGUGGGUGUCUGUGGGCAUGCAGUCCAUCCCGGCCCAAGUGGGAGGUGGUGAAGGAGGUACCCACAUGUCUGUGCAACAGCAAACAAUGAUUUGGGCGUUUUCUCCUGACACCAGUCAGCCAUUGUGCCUGGGCUUAUUAAGUUAACGAGUAAGUUUUAACAAGGAGCUUCAAGAAGACAAAGAAGGAAGACAAAGAAAACAGCUGCUGCAGCAAUGAGGAAACGGAGGCGGAACAGCAGCAGGAAAACUGUGCUGACCCCAGACUGGAGAAUUCAGGCUUCUGUGCAAACAGCCCGGAAAUGAGUUGAGCAACAGCCAAGGAUGUGGGUGCUGGAGGACCCUGGGUUUAGUUGGGAAAAGGUAGACAUAAGUCUGAGAGCUGAGGUGAGGAGCUGGAACCUGGCCACCUGCGUGUCUGGCCUCUGUCCCUGGGUCCCUCUCAGGUGGAGACGACAGCCAUGCAUCCUCCGGGCAGCAGAUGAAAGCUUGAGAGCAGAAGAGAGACACCAGAAGGUUGGCAAUGGAGGUAAUGAGCCCAGGUCCUGCAAAGAGAGUGAUGUCUUCAAGAUCAAGUGACACAAAACCAGUGCCCCUCUCCUAUCCGGCUGAGCCAAGGCGUCCCAGGAAAGUCAGAAACUUACCAGCACUUUCAGUUCUGUGAAACUGAGUGAAGUGGCCCCUUGGAAGGUUGAUAGUGGUGGAGAGAGGGACACAGUGCUCCCGCUGUCCCUGACUAACCAGAACCGAGGGCUCUUGGCACCAGACUUUACAGGCUAUGGUGUUCACCACAGGGCAAGAGUAGAGUGAGCCAGCAAGCUAGAGGGGUCUUUGAGGGAAGUGGAUGCAAUAGAAACCCUCCAGGCAAGUCCCUGCAAGUGAGGGCUGUGAGGAUCCUGGGCAUUGAAUGGCGGUGGCAUUUCUCCUGCCAGUGCCCUGAGGGUGGAGGCAGAACCAGCCUCCCUGAGGUGAGCGUCUGCAGCCCAGAGGCCCCCAGGCAAGAGUCGCUGUCCAGCUCAGCACUGGCUGAUGGCCUUAUGGUGUCCACUGGUGCCUUUUAUGGCAGGAGAAAGUGUGGCUGGACUGAAAGCCCUCUCUUGGUAGGGGAAGGGAACAGUGCCACGUGGGCUCCCCAGGCUUCUGAGCACUCAGACCUCACUUAGGGUUGUCACCAAUGGAGCUUCCAGCCUUGAGUCUCAGGCUAACCCCUUGGAGUCCAAGUCCUUAAAGGAAGUGGGGGCAAAACUGCCCUUCAUAUUCACUUUGUUCUACUUCAUAGAGAGGACUCCAAGUGUGGCAGACUCAGAAAAGAGGCUCAGAAGUGCUUUCAAAGUGAUUGAAAGUUCGCAAGAGAAACUGGCUUCCCCCUGGCCAGGAGAGCAGACCCUGCCACCUGAUGAGAAUGGAAGAGGUGUGUUGAGUGUCUAUUGAGCUUCAGGAGUGCUGACUCCCUGGAGGAGGUGGAGGGACUGAAGGCUUGGAGGGGCCAGGUCCACCUUCCAGAAGGCUCUGUGUCUCUGAGAGGCAGGGACGACAGGGUCAGAGUUGGCCACUCACUGUCUUUCUCCAAGGAUGGUAUCUCACGGGAAGAAAAUGAGCAUCUGGUGUCCAGAUUCGUAUGACCCUAGCAGAGAGGAGAGACUGUGA
rnacentral:lncRNA from 1 species